rnacentral:rRNA from 1 species
UACAGAGGGUGCAAGCGUUAAUCGGAAUUACUGGGCGUAAAGCGUGCGUAGACGGUUAUGUAAGUCGGGUGUGAAAGCCCCGGGCUCAACCUGGGAAUGCCAUUCGAGACUGCAUAGCUAGGGUGCGGAAGAGGGAAGCGGAAUUCCUGGUGUAGCGGUGAAAUGCGCAGAUAUCAGGAGGAACACCUAUUGCGAAGGCAGCUCGCUGGGACGUAACUGACGCUGAGACGCGAAAGCGUGGGGAGCAAACAGG